AAACUAGAAGGCACAGGCAACUGCGAUCGCGCCGGCGACAGCGAUCAAGCUUGCAGCGGCCAUAGGAGCAGCGCUGGGUCCUUCCGGUGUGCUGGGGGAGACCGCAGGAGGACUGGCAAUCGAGGGUGGAAAGGCAGUGGGAGCAGGCGGGGAUGUGGCCGGUACAGAGACCGCCGUCGACGGCGCUGGCGCCGACUCCGGAGACUUCUCGGUGGGUGGCAGGGCCGGAGUGGCGGUAGGUGGUCUGACAGGGGAUGGAGUUGGUGCAGUGAUGGGGGCGACGGUGGGUGGCGUUAGAGGGGCAAGUCUAGGUGGAGAGACAGUCGGGGAAGCUGCCGGGGCCUGAGCGAUGGCGACUGCAGCGAGGAGAGAGAAGGACAGAGCGAGCAUCGCGCUAGUGGUCGCCAUUGAGAGAGAUGGAGA
rnacentral:misc_RNA from 1 species